AUCGAACGCUGGCGGCAUGCUUUACACAUGCAAGUCGAACGGUAACAGGCCUUCGGGUGCUGACGAGUGGCGAACGGGUGAGUAAUGCAUCGGAACGUACCCAGAGGUGGGGGAUAACGCAGCGAAAGCUGUGCUAAUACCGCAUGUGAUCUGAGGAUGAAAGCGGGGGGCCGAGCAGCAAUGUUUGGCCUCGCGCCUUUGGAGCGGCCGAUGUCGGAUUAGCUAGUUGGUGGGGUAAAGGCCUACCAAGGCGACGAUCCGUAGCUGGUCUGAGAGGACGACCAGCCACACUGGGACUGGGACACGGCCCAGACUCCUACGGGAGGCAGCAGUGGGGAAUUUUGGCCAAUGGGCGCAAGCCUGAUCCAGCAAUGCCGCGUGCGGGAAGAAGGCCUUCGGGUUGUAAACCGCUUUUGGCAGGAAGAAACGGUGUCCGCUAAUACCGGGCGCUAAUGACGGUACCUGCAGAAUAAGCACCGGCUAACUACGUG
rnacentral:rRNA from 1 species